rnacentral:rRNA from 1 species
UACGGAGGGGGCUAGCGUUGUUCGGAUUUACUGGGCGUAAAGGGCGCGUAGGCGGCCAGCACAAGUCAGUUGUGAAAUCUCCGAGCUUAACUCGGAAAGGUCAACUGAUACUGUGCGGCUAGAGUACGGAAGAGGCGAGUGGAAUUCCUGGUGUAGCGGUGGAAUGCGCAGAUAUCAGGAGGAACACCAAUAGCGAAGGCAGCUCGCUGGGACGUUUACUGACACUGAGAUGCGAAAGCGUGGGGGAGCAAACAGG